rnacentral:rRNA from 1 species
CGGGUUGUAAAGUACUUUCAGCAGUGAGGAAGGUGGUGUCGUUAAUAGCGGCAUCAUUUGACGUUAGCUGCAGAAGAAGCACCGGCUAACUCCGUGCCAGCAGCCGCGGUAAUACGGAGGGUGCGAGCGUUAAUCGGAAUUACUGGGCGUAAAGCGCAUGCAGGUGGUUUGUUAAGUCAGAUGUGAAAGCCCGGGGCUCAACCUCGGAAUUGCAUUUGAAACUGGCAGACUAGAGUACUGUAGAGGGGGUAGAAUUUCAGGUGUAGCGGUGAAAAUGCGUAGAGAUCUGAAGGAAUACCGGUGGCGAAGGCGGCCCCCUGGACAGAUACUGACACUCAGAUGCGAAAGCGUGGGGAGCAAACAGGAUUAGAUACCCUGGUAG